GCUCAUUUAGCUCAGUUGGCAGAGCGCUUCACUUGUAUUGGCUCAGCGAAGACUCCUUCGUCACUUCGCUGCGCUAGAUAUGAAGAGGUCAGCAGUUCGAUUCUGCUAAUGUGCU
rnacentral:tRNA from 1 species